rnacentral:rRNA from 1 species
UGGCGGACGGGUGAGUAAUGUCUGGGAAACUGCCUGAUGGAGGGGGAUAACUACUGGAAACGGUAGCUAAUACCGCAUAACGUCGCAAGACCAAAGAGGGGGACCUUAGGGCCUCUUGCCAUCGGAUGUGCCCAGAUGGGAUUAGCUAGUAGGUAAGGUAACGGCUUACCUAGGCGACGAUCCCUAGCUGGUCUGAGAGGAUGACCAGCCACACUGGAACUGAGACACGGUCCAG